UCACUCGCUUCACAGUGAUAACAGUCCUCCUCCCUGUGUAGUCCCGUGAACGGGUGGCUUACCAUUUCACCGCCUCUGAACGGCCCACGUGAUUCACACGCCCUGAAGGCUCCUCUCCAUCCCUGAGGCUUUUUCUAGGCAGGGGGGCGUGGAUGCAGAGCCGUUGCCCUGGCAACGCCCACUUCACGUCAGCCGCUCUCGUGAGAGCUGCCGGGCUGCUCUGUUAUCUCGGGGUUCCCUGGAUGAAGGAACCGACUGAAACCCUGCUGUACCUCGCGGUCAGUCGCUGCGGUUCUGGCCGGGACAGCUCCGAAGCGGCGAACCUCGGCGAUCAAGACUAUGACACAGAGAUUAAUCUGAAUUCCUGGGAUACACCAACCACUGACUGAAGGGAGUGCCAUUUUGCUUUUGUAUAACACCAGUGGAGAAAAUGGUGCCAGAUGAACCCAAACCCAUCUGCUCACCUACUGAUGAGUGUGAAGAAGAGACAAAGAUGUGGUCCUUCUACAACAUGGUCUGCUGUGUGCAAUUUCCAAAACCACCUGAAUAGUUCAUGCUUUGCUUAGGUGGAGCAUACAUGAGCUGCCCAUGAUUCGCUGCCUAAGCAGAGGAAAAUGGAAGAGAAGGUUUGGCUCUGAGCCGAGGCUAUGGCUGGAGAAUAAGGGCUCUGCAUACCAUUCGUCUUACUUACUUAUUCGUGUACUACUUACUAAUGUGAUGUUACAUUGUUUGAGCUGGACCUUCCUGGACAAACUAUUUGCAAAUGGCUUGCUUGUGUUUCUGCAGACUGACUGUGAAACGAAUGAGAUGAGUGGAGAUGCAAGAAACCGGCCCUGCCUGCCCAGGCAAUGCUGUCUAGUACAAGCAGUCAGCCAGCCUAAGUGAUACACAGCUGUGAUUGGAUCGAGUAUGCAUCUUCCAAAUCAAUGGAAGCAUUUCAGUUGAUUUGAGUAUGGACAGGAUCAAACUUUCUUGUGCUACUGUGCAGAGGUGACUGGCAGCAUCCUGCUGUAGAAGGCCUCCAAGAAUUUCAGGACCUUUCCUUGGCUCAUAAAAGUGAAAGAUAAGCAGGGUUACCCAGAGCCACCAUUGAAAGCUACGUUUUUCAUUUUGUAUUGCUCAGUAUUUAAGUUUUUUGAAGUUUAAGUUUCAACACCGAGUAUGAGAAUUGAUUGUCUUUACUGUCUAAGGAAGAGCACCUGGACCUCAGCAAGAAAUGGUUACAAAGGUGCAAAAAAUAAAUGAAACUUGACAACGAAUCUUAGGUCAAAUGAAGUAAACAACGGGAAAAGAUUGGUGCCAGAAAUGGGUCUAAUUUUUUUGUUUUGUUUCACUCAUUCAGACAUGAAUAACCUUCAGCUUCUCCAUUAGUUGGGCUAUAGUAACUUCCUGAGGAGGUCCAGGAGGAGAAUUUAUGGAAAACAAACUUAUUCCUAGUGAAGACACCCUGCAUCACAGUGAUGAAUACUUAGUUCUGAUGGCAAAAAAUAUUUCUAUGACAAUCAGGCAAACCAAGAUGAAUAUUUGCAUGGUUCUGAUCUAAGUAGUGCUGGAGGGAGCUGUGUUAAGAGCAGGGCAAGUUCUGCCUCUGAGAAAAGGUUAGGCUGGAGAGUCCUGAAUGGAUCUAUGCUGUUCAGCCUGGAGAAGAGAAUGUGACCUGAGAGUAGUCUUUCAGUCACUAAAGGGGAGCUACAGGAAAGAAGGGGACAGACUUUUCAAUGGGGUCUGUGGUGAUAGAACAAA